UGGGGAAUUUUGGACAAUGGGCGAAAGCCUGAUCCAGCAAUGCCGCGUGUGUGAAGAAGGCCUUCGGGUUGUAAAGCACUUUUGUCCGGAAAGAAAUCCUUGGCUCUAAUACAGUCGGGGGAUGACGGUACCGGAAGAAUAAGCACCGGCUAACUACGUGCCAGCAGCCGCGGUAAUACGUAGGGUGCAAGCGUUAAUCGGAAUUACUGGGCGUAAAGCGUGCGCAGGCGGUUUGCUAAGACCGAUGUGAAAUCCCCGGGCUCAACCUGGGAACUGCAUUGGUGACUGGCAGGCUAGAGUACGGCAGAGGGGGGUAGAAUUCCACGUGUAGCAGUGAAAUGCGUAGAGAUGUGGAGGAAUACCGAUGGCGAAGGCAGCCCCCUGGGCCAAUACUGACGCUCAUGCACGAAAGCGUGGGGAGCAAACAGGAUUAGAUACCCUGGUAGUCCACGCCCUAAACGAUGUCAACUAGUUGUUGGGGAUUCAUUUCCUUAGUAACGUAGCUAACGCGUGAAGUUGACCGCCUGGGGAGUACGGUCGCAAGAUUAAAACUCAAAGGAAUUGACGGGGUCAUAGCUG
rnacentral:rRNA from 1 species